rnacentral:rRNA from 1 species
CCUACGGGUGGCUGCAGUGGGGAAUAUUGGACAAUGGGGGCAACCCUGAUCCAGCCAUGCCGCGUGUGUGAAGAAGGCCCUCGGGUUGUAAAGCACUUUCAGUGAGGAAGAACGCCUGGUGGUUAAUACCCAUCAGGAAAGACAUCACUCACAGAAGAAGCACCGGCUAACUCCGUGCCAGCAGCCGCGGUAAUACGGAGGGUGCGAGCGUUAAUCGGAAUUACUGGGCGUAAAGCGCGCGUAGGUGGCUUGAUAAGCCGGUUGUGAAAGCCCCGGGCUCAACCUGGGAACGGCAUCCGGAACUGUCAAGCUAGAGUGUAGGAGAGGAAGGUAGAAUUCCCGGUGUAGCGGUGAAAUGCGUAGAGAUCGGGAGGAAUACCAGUGGCGAAGGCGGCCUUCUGGACUGACACUGACACUGAGGUGCGAAAGCGUGGGUAGCAAACAGGAUUAGAUACCCCGGUAGUC